GCUGCUGGGACAGUGGGACGGGGCGACAAGUGGGUGAACGUACAAAGGAGACCACAGAUAGCAGCUGAGGUGAUGGGGAUCAGCCCUCCCUAGGCUCAGAGUUCCUUUGUCGACUCACAUCUCUCUCUGUCUCUGUCUCUCUUUCCCCCCAGCUCUACACAGAAGCAGAGGAUGUUCAUCUGGAAGAGAGCCUGGUAGCCUGGUGCUUUUCUGAGCCAAUGUGUGCAAAGAGGAAAAAGAGCUUGCCAUGUCCUGCCUAGCCUUCCUAUGAUGUCAAUGAGGGCAGCAGGUUAUAGCACCUGCCUCUCUCGCACGCCUUGCACCUCCUGGCACAACUCUUACCUCAGGAAUGACAACAAAAGCACCUGUCAUCAUCGUGAGCACUAUGUUAAUUCCGAACAACCACCUCAGGAAGAUGAAGUAGGAGGCCACGCCAGAUCCGAAGUGACCUAUGGGCAGACAACACGAGAGUGGCUCGGCUCAAGCCUCACGGAGCAGAAAGCCUGCCUCCAGCGGGACUGCAUUCACCUCCACCAGCAGCACACACAGGAAGAGUGGUGUUGUAUUGACGCCCCCCACCGGCUGGGUCAGCAUCCUGUGCCUGGUCUCCAGCUCUAUGUACGUACGAAAGGCUAGCUCUAGUUCACCAGGACUGCUAUAUGAUAAUGUUCCUGGUGCUGUACUCAGCUAGCAUGCCAAAAAAAAAUUAUUAACUUAUGCAUGUUUUGGAAAGUUAGAAACUUUGGAGACUUUCAUAUACUUCUGUC